rnacentral:lncRNA from 1 species
UUUCGACCAACUCCAAGCCCUGUUUUCGCAAUACAAAAGCUUCCCCCUACACGCACAUCAAAAACAUCCCACAGUGGCCAACCAAAGCCAAAAACCUGAAAGUGAACUCACAUAAAGUCUCAAGCACACACACACUACACAAAGCGAAAACAAAGAACUUGUUACCAUUUUCUCACACUCACUCAAAUGGCGGCCAUAUUGAAGGCAAGCUGUUUGUUAAAUUGACUCAGAGAGAAAAAAAAAAGGUUUUUGAUAAAAAUAUGGGUUUUAGAAGAAUGAUUGGGGGGAACUUGGAUCCGGAGAGGAAAAGGAGCGGAGGCUUG